GACGAACGCUGGCGGCGUGCCUAAUACAUGCAAGUCGAACGCUGAAGAGAGGAGCUUGCUCUUCUUGGAUGAGUUGCGAACGGGUGAGUAACGCGUAGGUAACCUGCCUGGUAGCGGGGGAUAACUAUUGGAAACGAUAGCUAAUACCGCAUAAAAUGGAUUAUCGCAUGAUAAUCCAUUGAAAGGUGCAAAUGCAUCACUACCAGAUGGACCUGCGUUGUAUUAGCUAGUUGGUGGGGUAACGGCUCACCAAGGCGACGAUACAUAGCCGACCUGAGAGGGUGAGCGGCCACACUGGGACUGAGACACGGCCCAGACGCCUACGGGAGGCAGCAGUAGGGAAUCUUCGGCAAUGGACGGAAGUCUGACCGAGCAACGCCGCGUGAGUGAAGAAGGUUGUCGGAUCGUAAAGCUCUGUUGUAAGAGAAGAACGAGUGUGAGAGUGGAAAGUUCACACUGUGACGGUAUCUUACCAGAAAGGGACGGCUAACUACGUG
rnacentral:rRNA from 1 species